GCUACGGGGGUCAGCAGUGAGGAAUAUUGGUCAAUGGCCGGAAGGCUGAACCAGCCAAGCCGCGUGAAGGACGAAGGUGCCAAGCAUUGUAAACUUCUUUUGUCAAGGGACAAAAUCAGGCUCGAGAGCCUGACCGAGGUACUUGAAGAAAAAGCAUCGGCUAACUCCGUGCCAGCAGCCGCGGUAAUACGCGGGAUGCGAGCGUUAACCGGAUUUAUUGGGUUUAAAGGGUGCGUAGGAGGGCUGUUAAGUCAGCUGGAAAAGCCCGGGGCUCAACCCCGGCGAGCCGUUGAUAAUGGCUGUCUUGAGAUGUCGAGAGGUAUGCGGAAUGCGCAGUGUGGCGGUGAAAUGCUUAGAUAUUGCGCAGAACUCCGAUUGCGAAGGCAGCAUACCGGCGGCGAUCUGACGCUGAGGCACGAAAGCGUGGGUAUCGAACAGGAUUAGAUACCCUAGUAGUC
rnacentral:rRNA from 1 species